AGAGUUCAGAGGUCAUUGGUCACAUGGGUUUUUCGAGCACAAACUCUAUUGAACGAUCAACACAGUUCUCCGGUGUAAAGUGUCCACUGAAGCAACAUAUCAGGCAAAACCUCCAGUAUACUGAGUCUACCAUCCAAAGCAUCCAGUGAACCACUGAUCAGCUCUCCAGUGUCCUGAGUCUGGAACCACCAAUGAAGCAACAGUUCUCAGUCAGACUAAGUUUGCCAUCCUAGGACUUUAGUACACAACACAGUUACAUGUACACACUUCAUCACUAUAUACACCACAACUCCCUAAUGUAUUUCAUACAAAGCACAACCUAACUUUCACAUCAGCUGUCACACCAUUACACAAUAUUCCACCCUGCUAGAACACUUGUUUCUCAAAUAUAAAUUGUCAUGGAUUAACACUGAUACACUCUCAUACACACUAUCUUUAUAAUAAUUGCCUUAAAUUGGCUACAUUGUCACAUGCACUACUCUUAUACCUUUACCGUUUUAUAUUACUUAUACACACAUUCUGUUAUAUUUAUGAUUAAAUAUAUAUGAUAUAUAAUAUAUGAUAUAUAAUAUAUGAUUCGUUGUCACUUAAUUUUACUUCUACAUUUCUCUGACUUGGUAUUUCCAAAUUGCAUUACUUUGCUGUCCAAAAUGAGAUAUUGACCCACCCAUCUUUCAGUGACAACCUAUUUCCCUUACAGUUUUCACAUUUCUUACUGUAUGUAUGUAGUAAAACAUACAUUUUUCUUAACAGUUCCACACUAUUGAUCACAUUGCCUUCAUUUGCAGUUCUACACACACAGGCUCUCUCUACACUACUAACACUCCUUAUGGACAUUAUGCUCAUAUAAAGCACAAACUGCUUAACCAAGUAAACAUCAUUCAGCAAAAAGACUUUUACUGCACAACUCCUAAAAAUAUUCAUAGUACAUAACAAAAUAACCACACAUGACUUGUACAUCACACCUUAACACAACUUUGUCUCUUCGUUUCUAAGUUCAUAACACCAUACCUAAAGUCAACAACUCUCCCUCUAUUCUGUCUCUCAACACACCAUUAUAGCUGUAACUCAGCCAGCAUUUCUCUGGAAUCAUACAUUUCGCAACCAACACCUACAGCAAAACACUGAUCACUAAACAGCUCCCCUGUCCUGACUGUUACACACAAGAGCUCAAGUGAGACAAACAUUACUUCAACAACUUGCUGAUAUUUUCUAGCUUUCCACUGUGUCCACUGAAGCUACACAUCAGCCAACCACUCUCCAGUAUCCUGAGUCUGGCACCCAGGGGUUCCAGUGAACCACUGAUACACCCACAACUCUCCAGUAUCCUGAGUCUGGCACCCAUGGGGUCCAGUGAACCACUGAUACACCCACAACUCUCCAGUAUCCUGAGUCUGGCACCCAAGGGGUCCAGUGAACCACUGAUAGAGUAGCAACUCUCCAGUAUCCUGAGUCUGGCACCCAAGGGGUCCAGUGAACCACUGAUAGAGCAAGGACACUUUAAUAUCCUAAGUCUGUCACCCACAGUCUCCAGUGAAACCGGAAUGGUCUUUAUGGAUACUGGAACAGACUGGAACAUACACGACAGAAGUUGGAUACAGAAGACGAUGUAGAGCACAUGUGUAAGAUUGAAUAAGCACCUUGAAAAAAAAAAAAAACUGUGUUGACAGACCUUAUGGCUUUGAUUCCAAGUACUUUAAACCUCUCUUUGUUCUCUUAUGGAGGGCCUGACCUCUGAAGCAGUAAUAAUCAAAUCCAGUAGCAUUCCAGCUCCAUACAACUUAGUAAAGAUAUCUGAUUUCCUUUGAUACAUUUUUCUUUCAAGAAAUAAAGUCCACUGCAAAGUCUGCUGGUGCCAGCUCCUGGUCAUCAGCCAUGGUAUGUUGUAUAUUUUGCAAUACAUGGAUAAUGUGUUUCCAUGAAAGGGGGCUUUAAAGUGACAGUUUCUGUGCUUUGUUUUCACUAGGCCGUAACUGCUGUUUUGAUGUUGCCAUAUAUCCCCAAGUAAAAGAGCAGCUGAAAGAAAUAUGUUUUAAAGAUGUUAUCUCCUGCCUUUUGAAACAUUAUUGCAGUGUGUUCCUUUCUCUGCAUGCACAAGCUCUUGCUGAGCCUUUGGCUCU